rnacentral:lncRNA from 1 species
AUAGGAUCGAAGGAUGGAUGUGCUUUCGUUAGAUCUCAAUAUUAAAAACUUUAAAUAAAUCAAUUAAUGGAUCGGCUUUUCCAAAUUUUAUAAAAUAAUAAAUUACCAGCUUUGAUUAUGGGAUUCUUUGGAUCAUACAAUGUUCAAACAAAUUUGAACGCGGUUAGUCAAUUUUAAUAACUAAUUGAUACGUGGCGUUGUUAAACCAGAUCGAUGCUACACAGAGUGAAGCCUUUGGACCCAGAUCUGACUUAGAACAGAUCAAUAGCCCGCACGUUCGGGUUUCCAGCCGAUAUACCAAAUCAGUUUUAGUUUACCAAAUAAAGUUAAGUUGCUUUAAACGUGGUUGAUUCUUUUUAUUGGGCUAUUAUCAGAUUUAGAUUAGGUUCUUUUAAAGGUUUGGGUACAUACACAGUACCAGAUCCGGAUCCCGGAAAUGGUGCUCUGAAGGAAUGGAGGAAGAAGAGAAGAUUACAACUGAGGAUCGAGAUCC